CCCGCUGAAUUUAAGCAUAUUAAUAAGCGGAGGAAAAGAAACUAACAAGGAUUCCCUCAGUAACGGCGAGUGAAGCGGGAAGAGCUCAAAUUUGAAAUCUCCGAUGCUUGCAUCGGCGAGUUGUAGUUGCGAGAAGCACUUUCUAGGCGGAUCGACGGUGCCUAAGUUGCUUGGAACAGCACGUCGCAGAGGGUGACAACCCCGUCUGUGGCGCCGCCGGCCGCCGACGAUGUGCUUUCGAAGAGUCGGGUUGUUUGGGAAUGCAGCCCAAAACGGGUGGUAAACUCCAUCUAAAGCUAAAUACUGGCGUGAGACCGAUAGCGAACAAGUACCGUGAGGGAAAGAUGAAAAGAACUUUGAAAAGAGAGUUAAAAAGUACGUGAAACCGUCGAAAGGGAAACGAAUGGACUCAGCAAUGCGCCCUCUGAGAUUCAGCCGGUGGGUGGCGGCGGCGCCGGGUUUGCGGAUCUGAAUGGACCGCGGCCUGGCGCCCGCCUCGUCUCCCCGCCGUCGCACUUCUCUGGGGCGCGCGUCAACGUGGGUUGGGACUGGGUCUGAAAGGCGCCGGGAAGGUAGGUGUGGGCCUUCGGGUCCGUUCUGUUACAGCCCGGUUCUCUCAUGGCUCGGGCCCGACCGAGGAGCGACACGGGGCAUGCCUCCUGUGGCUAGGGUCCCGCCCUUCCGGCCGGCUGUCCAGUGCGGUGGACUGCUUGCAGUGCUCCGCGGCGGCUGCCGGUCGUUGGGGUGGUGAUCUCGUACCAUGCCCCUAGGAUGUUGGCGGUCAUAUGGGUGC
rnacentral:rRNA from 1 species